GUACUUAUAUGAGUUAUUGCUUUAUAUUUCAAUUAUAUUUUUACCUUUUCCUUUAUUGCAGCUAUGUUAGCAUUCUAAAAUCCUUGAAUUCUAACUCAACUCUUCCAAUUUCAGAAACAUCUACAGCUGAUAUUAUUUUGCAAGUGAAAUAAAUCCUGUCCUUGUCCCUGUAGCAUUCUGAUGUUUCCCACACUCUCAGUGAUGCUGAGUUUGGUUCAGCAGGUCUCCCUGGCAGGGCUCAGAAGAUGUUGGACAGAUGAAGUGUCCUCUCUGCAAAGGAAAUGGAGACAACUUACUGACUUCUAUAUGGCAGAAGGAUAUAUGCAUGCAAAAAAGAUACAUCAUACCGUGGGUCUAAAGACCUUUAAACAGACCGAAGAACCCUUCACCAUGUUGUUGGAUGAAAUGUGCAAACACACGGCUCCCCUUUGAGAAGCUGAUUCUAGGUUAAAUUUGGUCAUUUUGUCACGGUUCGCAUCCGGAGGUGAGCCUUGCUCUGCUUUGCUUUCCUUUCUUUCCCCUCCUUUCCUCCUUCCUUUUUGUAAAUCUGGUGGUAGUGAUUAAACACAGAGCCUUGCACCUGCUAGACAAAUGCUCUACCACUGAGCCAUAUUUCCAGUACUCUAUUUAUUCAUUUUCAGUUUUGAGAUAAGGCCUCCCUAAGUCGCCCAGGCUGGGCUUUGACUUUUGGUUCUCUUGAGUCAGCCUCCCACAUAGCUGGGAUGUGUGUAUCACUGCAUCAGACCUGGCGAUGUUUAAACCAAGUAACAGGACUGGAUAAGUAUUUUAAAUCACAUUAAAUUUCUCAUCAGAAGAAAGGUUGCUUUUGUUUUUUUAAUUUUGAAAACC
rnacentral:lncRNA from 1 species